CGGACCGGCGCACGGGUGAGUAACACGUAUGCAACCUGGCCGUCACAGGUGGAUAACCGGAAGAAAUUCCGACUAAUACAGCAUAACACUCCUGAGGGACAUCCUUCGGGAGUCAAAGGAGGCAACUCCGGUGACGGAUGGGCAUGCGGCGCAUUAGGUAGUUGGUAGGGUAACGGCCUACCAAGCGACGAUGCGUAGGGGUUCUGAGAGGAAGGUCCCCCACAUUGGAACUGAGACACGGUCCAAACUCCUACGGAAGGCAGCAG
rnacentral:rRNA from 1 species